GAAUAUUUAAUUUACUAUUAUUACAUAUUUAAAUUAUUUAUAUAUGUGAUUUUUUUUAAAGUCUGGAAUUGCAUAACAAUAUUCAACAAAAAUGUCAGGUUGACAGCAAUUGAUCAUGCUUUUUAGCAGAAUGAAAAAAACUUAAUUGUUUGAUGAUCCUCCUUUUUGUAUUUAACAGGGAAAUGUCAUCAAAACAGUUUGCUGAAACAUGAAGAUGCAAAUGAUAAGCUUCAAACUUCUGAGAUCUGGGGAAACAUCAGCACCAGGACCUUUUUAACAUCUUCAAACUGACAGUGGCUUUUGGCUGGCUAAUCACCCCUGACCCCUUUGACGACACCUGACUGCAUCUU
rnacentral:lncRNA from 1 species